rnacentral:rRNA from 1 species
CAGCUCCAAUAGCGUAUAUUAAAGUUGUUCUUUUACUGUGAAAAAAUUAGAGUGUUCAAAGCAGGCCUUUGCUCGGAUACAUUAGCAUGGAAUAAUAGAAUAGGACGUGUGGUUCUAUUUUGUUGGUUUCUAGGACCGCCGUAAUGAUUAAUAGGGAUAGUCGGGGGCGUCAGUAUUCGGCUGUCAGAGGUGAAAUUCUUGGAUUUGCUGAAGACUAACUACUGCGAAAGCAUUCGCCAAGGAUGUUUUCAUUAAUCAGUGAACGAAAGUUAGGGGAUCGAAGACGAUCAGAUACCGUCGUAGUCUUAACCAUAAACUAUGCCGACUAGGGAUCGGACGGGCGGGUUCUGGGGGGAGUAUGCUCGCAAGGCUGAAACUUAAAGAAAUUGACGGAAGGGCACCACCAGGCGUGGAGCCUGCGGCUUAAUUUGACUCAAC